GCCCCGGUAGUAUAGCCUGGUCAAGUAUGCGGGCCUCUCGAGCCCGAAACCCGGGUUCAAAUCCCGGCCGGGGCA
rnacentral:tRNA from 1 species